rnacentral:lncRNA from 1 species
GGGUAUUCUUUCUUCCAAAGUGCACCGCGUAUAGGAAGGACGCGAGCAUCAAUAUUUCAUCCUUGCUUCGCCUGCCAGCAUCCCGCUCCCUCCUCCCUGCUUCUCACCGGCUCUAGGACCCGGAGAGCUGGGCCACGCUGGCCUGACCCAGGGCGUCAUCACAGAUGUCCACGCUGCCUUCAGCUUGCCCGCCGUGCCAUCGUGGACUCCAGAGUCUGCGCAAGAAGCCGCCCUUCUGAACCAGGUGUCGUUGGUUUUUUCCCACCUCCCAGGCCUAGACAGGUGGAUAAAGGAAGCAGCGUGGGUGUUCAGGAGCACACAUCCCUCCGGCCAGCCCCCAGCCCAUCUCAUCUCGUCCACUUGAGGUCACAGAGGAAUGCGCUGUGCUCUGCCAGGGGGGUCCUGGCAGAGUGUGGAGCUGGGAUGGAAGCAGUUACUCUCAGGAGGACUUUGGGCAGACUGUGGUCCUUUCUCAGGCUGGUGGCCAGCUCUUCAUUUCUGUGUUGGGACUGGGGUUGAGGGUGCCUGCUGAGAUUCAGAAAAGGGACGGUCUUCCCAGGUCUGUGUGGUGUCUGGUGGGCCGGCUCAGGACACCAGGAGGUGGCUGGCUGGGGACCAGUGCUUCCUCCUGGUCCCUCUUCUGCACCUCUCUGGCUCUCUGUCUCUGGCAUCUUCACCUCUAGCUCUGUGGCUCUGCUGCCUGCUUCCUUCAGUCCCUUCUGGACCUGCCUUCUCACUGGCAUGGCUGAAGAUGGGGCCCCGCUACUCUUUCGCUUUGAUGAAAUAAAUCAUUUGUACG